GCCAGGCGUAGUGGCGUGCGCCUGUAAUCCCAGCUACUCAGGAGGCUGAGGCAGGAGAAUUGCUUGAACCUGGGAGACGGAGGUUGCAGUGAGCCAAGAUCAUGCCACUGAACUCCAGUCUGGGGGACAGAGCAAGACUCUGUCUCAA
rnacentral:SRP_RNA from 1 species